rnacentral:tRNA from 1 species
GUUUAUAUAAUUUAAAUAAAAUAUUAGACUGUGACUCCUAAUUAUGAAAGUUAAAACCU